UGUAAGCGUAUACCCAAGUUGUUGCAGUUAAAACGCUCGUAGUCGGAUUUUGGUGGGCGAGCCGGGGCGUCUUUGCGGACGGACCUGGAUCGGCCGCCUUUGUGGAGGGGGGCCCGGGGCCGCUUGAGUGCGGGCUCGUUGUCGCUGCCACCGUUUACUGUGAAAAAAUUAGAGUGUUCAAAGCGGGCGUUUGCCAUGAAUACCUUAGCAUGGAAUAAUAGAAUAGGACCUGUGUUCUGUUUUAUUGGUUUGUGAGGACCGGGUAAUGAUUAAGAGGGACGGUUGGGGGCAUUUGUAUUCCGGCGUCAGAGGUGAAAUUCUUGGAUUGUCGGAAGACAAACGGCUGCGAAAGCGUCUGCCAAGGACGUUUUCAUUGA
rnacentral:rRNA from 1 species